GUUUGAUCAUGGCUCAGAUUGAACGCUGGCGGCAGGCUUAACACAUGCAAGUCGAGCGAGAAAGGUUUUCGGACUGAGUAGAGCGGCGGACGGGUGAGUAACGCGUAGGAACCUACCUGCUAGAGGGGGAUAACUUGGGGAAACUCAAGCUAAUACCGCAUAAUCCCUACGGGGUAAAGGGGGCUUUUAGCUCUUGCUAGCAGAGGGGCCUGCGUUAGAUUAGCUAGUUGGUGGGGUAAAGGCUUACCAAGGCGACGAUCUAUAGCUGGUCUGAGAGGAUGAUCAGCCACACUGGGACUGAGACACGGCCCAGACUCCUACGGGAGGCAGCAGUGGGGAAUAUUGCGCAAUGGGGGGAACCCUGACGCAGCCAUGCCGCGUGUGUGAAGAAGGCCUUCGGGUUGUAAAGCACUUUAAGUUGUGAGGAAAGGUUGACGGUUAAUACCCAUUAGCUGUGACGUUAGCAACAGAAUAAGCACCGGCUAACUCCGUGCCAGCAGCCGCGGUAAUACGGAGGGUGCAAGCGUUAAUCGGAAUUACUGGGCGUAAAGCGCGCGUAGGCGGAUAAUUAAGUCGGAUGUGAAAGCCCUGGGCUCAACCUAGGAACUGCACCCGAUACUGGUUAUCUUGAGUACGAGAGAGGGAGGUAGAAUUUCUAGUGUAGCGGUGAAAUGCGUAGAUAUUAGAAGGAAUACCGGUGGCGAAGGCGGCCUCCUGGCUCGAUACUGACGCUGAGGUGCGAAAGCGUGGGUAGCAAACAGGAUUAGAUACCCUGGUAGUCCAUGCUGUAAACGAUGUCGACUAGCCGUUGGUCUCCAUGAGGGAUUAGUGGCGCAGCUAACGCGAUAAGUCGACCGCCUGGGGAGUACGGUCGCAAGAUUAAAACUCAAAUGAAUUGACGGGGGCCCGCACAAGCGGUGGAGCAUGUGGUUUAAUUCGAUGCAACGCGAAGAACCUUACCAAGACUUGACAUCCUCGGAACUUAGCAGAGAUGCUUUGGUGCCUUCGGGAAUCGAGAGACAGGUGCUGCAUGGCUGUCGUCAGCUCGUGUUGUGAAAUGUUGGGUUAAGUCCCGUAACGAGCGCAACCCUUGUUCUUAGUUGCCAGCGAUCAGGUCGGGCACUCUAGGAAGACUGCCGGUGACAAACCGGAGGAAGGUAGGGACGACGUCAAGUCAUCAUGGCCCUUACGUCUUGGGCUACACACGUGCUACAAUGGAAGGUACAAAGGGUUGCUAAGCGGCGACGUGGAGCUAAUCCCAUAAAACCUUUCGUAGUCCGGAUUGCAGUCUGCAACUCGACUGCAUGAAGUCGGAAUCGCUAGUAAUCGUGAAUCAGAAUGUCACGGUGAAUACGUUCCCGGGCCUUGUACACACCGCCCGUCACACCAUGGGAGUGGGUUGCAAAAGAAGUGGCUAGUCUAACCAUUGGAGGACGGUCACCACUUUGUGAUUCAUGACUGGGGUGAAGUCGAAACAAGGUA
rnacentral:rRNA from 1 species